rnacentral:rRNA from 1 species
AAAAACAUGUNUUUUUGUUUAUAAUUUAAAGUUUAAUCUGCCCACUGAUAAUAAUUAAAGGGCUGCAGUAUAUUGACUGUACAAAGGUAGCAUAAUCAUUAGUCUUUUAAUUGAAGACUUGUAUGAAAGAUUUGAUGAGAUAUAAACUGUCUCUUAUUUAAAAUUAGAAAUUAAUUUUUUAAUAAAAAAGUUAAAAUAAAUUUAAAAGACGAGAAGACCCUAUAGAGUUUUAUAAUUAUUUUAAUUGAUUAUUUUUAUAAAUUUUAAUUAAAAAUUAAUAUUAAUUAUUUAAUUGGGGUGAUUGAAAAAUUAAAUAAACUUUUUAUAUAAUUAAACAUAAAUUAAUGAAUAAAUGAUCCAUAAUUUAUGAUUAAAAGAAAAAAUUACCUUAGGGAUAACAGCGUAAUUUUUUUUUUUAGUUCAAAUAAAAAAAAGAGUUUGCGACCUCGAUGUUGGAUUAAGAUAAAAUUUAAAUGUAGAAGUUUAAAAUUUUUGAUCUGUUCGAUCAUUAAAAUCUUACAUGAUCUGAG